GACGAACGCUGGCGGCGUGCUUAACACAUGCAAGUCGAACGGAAAGGCCCUGCUUUUGUGGGGUGCUCGAGUGGCGAACGGGGGAGUAACACGUGAGUAACCUGCCCUUGACUUUGGGAUAACUUCAGGAAACUGGGGCUAAUACCGGAUAGGAGCUCCUGCUGCACGGUGGGGGUUGGAAAGUUUCGGCGGUUAGGGCUGGACUCGCGGCUUAUCAGCUGGUUGGUGGGGUAGUGGCUUACCAAGGCUUUGACGGGUAGCCGGCCUGAGAGGGUGACCGGCCACCUUGGGACUGCGAUACGGCCCAGACUCCUACGGGCGGCAGCAGUGGGGAAUAUUGCACAAUGGGCGGAAGCCUGAUGCAGCAACGCCGCGUGCGGGAUGACGGCCUUCGGGUUGUAAACCGCUUUCGCCUGUGCCGAAGCGUGCGUGACGGUAAUGGAUAAAGAAGCACCGGCUAACUACGUG
rnacentral:rRNA from 1 species